rnacentral:rRNA from 1 species
ACGAACGCUGGCGGCGUGCCUAAUACAUGCAAGUCGAACGCUUUUUCUUUCACCGGAGCUUGCUCCACCGAAAGAAAAAGAGUGGCGAACGGGUGAGUAACACGUGGGUAACCUGCCCAUCAGAAGGGGAUAACACUUGGAAACAGGUGCUAAUACCGUAUAACACUAUUUUCCGCAUGGAAGAAAGUUGAAAGGCGCUUUUGCGUCACUGAUGGAUGGACCCGCGGUGCAUUAGCUAGUUGGUGAGGUAACGGCUCACCAAGGCCACGAUGCAUAGCCGACCUGAGAGGGUGAUCGGCCACACUGGGACUGAGACACGGCCCAGACUCCUACGGGAGGCAGCAGUAGGGAAUCUUCGGCAAUGGACGAAAGUCUGACCGAGCAACGCCGCGUGAGUGAAGAAGGUUUUCGGAUCGUAAAACUCUGUUGUUAGAGAAGAACAAGGAUGAGAGUAGAACGUUCAUCCCUUGACGGUAUCUAACCAGAAAGCCACGGCUAACUACGUGCCAGCAGCCGCGGUAAUACGUAGGUGGCAAGCGUUGUCCGGAUUUAUUGGGCGUAAAGCGAGCGCAGGCGGUUUCUUAAGUCUGAUGUGAAAGCCCCCGGCUCAACCGGGGAGGGUCAUUGGAAACUGGGAGACUUGAGUGCAGAAGAGGAGAGUGGAAUUCCAUGUGUAGCGGUGAAAUGCGUAGAUAUAUGGAGGAACACCAGUGGCGAAGGCGGCUCUCUGGUCUGUAACUGACGCUGAGGCUCGAAAGCGUGGGGAGCGAACAGGAUUAGAUACCCUGGUAGUCCACGCCGUAAACGAUGAGUGCUAAGUGUUGGAGGGUUUCCGCCCUUCAGUGCUGCAGCAAACGCAUUAAGCACUCCGCCUGGGGAGUACGACCGCAAGGUUGAAACUCAAAGGAAUUGACGGGGGCCCGCACAAGCGGAGGAACAUGUGGUUUAAUUCGAUGAUACGCGAGGAACCUUACCCGGGCUUAAAUUGCAAAUGAAUUAUGGGGAAACCCAUACGCCGCAAGGCAUUUGUGAAGGUGCUGCAUGGUUGUCGUCAGCUCGUGUCGUGAGAUGUUGGGUUAAGUCCCGCAACGAGCGCAACCCUUAUUGUUAGUUGCCAUCAUUUAGUUGGGCACUCUAGCGAGACUGCCGGUGACAAACCGGAGGAAGGUGGGGAUGACGUCAAAUCAUCAUGCCCCUUAUGACCUGGGCUACACACGUGCUACAAUGGGAAGUACAACGAGUUGCGAAGUCGCGAGGCUAAGCUAAUCUCUUAAAGCUUCUCUCAGUUCGGAUUGUAGGCUGCAACUCGCCUACAUGAAGCCGGAAUCGCUAGUAAUCGCGGAUCAGCACGCCGCGGUGAAUACGUUCCCGGGCCUUGUACACACCGCCCGUCACACCACGAGAGUUUGUAACACCCGAAGUCGGUGAGGUAACCUUUUUGGAGCCAGCCGCCUAAGGUGGGAUAGAUGAUUGGGGUG